rnacentral:misc_RNA from 1 species
AGAAAGCUCAUGGAAUGAGGAUUCUAACGUCACUAGAAUCGCAUCCAUCCGAUGUCGAACGACACUGGAAUGAGCGCUUGAAGUUGGCUACCGCGCACGUCCCUUUCUCUCUCUCUCUUCUCCAUUUCACGUCGCUGCUACAUAUUUGGUCAUUAUUCAUGGCUAUCACCGAUCGCCAUGUGUCUAGUCUGGGUGGCUCAGUAGUAGUGAAUGUAAUUGGCCAGAGCAAAAAUGAGGUGGGAAAGGGAGUUAACGAGAGAGAGAGAGAAAAGAAAGAA